CUGGGUCAGAGGCAUCCCACCUACAGCCAGGUAAUUCAGGGCUGUAAUUUGGGGAGGGGGUCCUGCAGCUCCCCCGGUCUCUCCCCUGCUCUGCAGACUCUGCUCCCUUAUGUGUGUGCAGUGAGUGAGUCUGGGACUGAAGGACAGGAUCAGUUACUAUAAUUAUGUGCAGCCCUGCCCAUUCCUUGCCUCAUCUCUCUCUCGCUCUCUCUCCAUUCUUAAAGAAGCACUAACCAUGCUGUCUAUGGCUGUCACUCACACUGUGUGACAUGAUGCUGCGUUCAGGAGGUGCUGAUCUCCCUGAUAGCCUCUAUCAAAGUUUUCUUCACUGGAAGGGGGAGUGGGCUGAUUAUAUGUAUGGUUAAACUUAAAUGACAAGAACACUUAAUUAACUUUAAAAGUUACAUUUAUGAGUAAAUAAAAAAAAAUACCAGAAUUAAUUUAAGAUGUUGCAUUUCAAAUACUAUGUGUAAAAUGAAGAAUGUCAUGUGAGUACAUUAACGGCACAUUGUUCAUUAAAAAUAAACUUUAUUACAGAGCCAUCUAUAUAGAGUGCUAUUAAAUAUCCCUAACUAGGGUUAAUGGGUGCCUAGAGUCAUAUUACAUGUCCCCAGCUAGGGGGCAUUAUAUCAUGACAUUUGUAACUCAAUAUUCUCUAAAUCAGAUCCCUGUAUUUAUA